UACAGAGGUGGCAAGCGUUGUUCGGAAUCAUUGGGCUUAAAGCGUGUGUAGGCGGAACAGAAAGUGUUUCGUGAAAUCCCCCGUCUCAACCGGGGAAUUGCUUGGCAAACUACUGUUCUUGAGGCAGGCAUGGGUGCUUGGAACUCUUGGUGGAGCGGUGAAAUGCGUAGAUAUCAAGAGGAACGCCUGUGGUGAAAACGGAGCACUGGGCCUGUACUGACGCUGAGACACGAAAGCGUGGGGAGCGAACGGG
rnacentral:rRNA from 1 species